GAGGAGGGGGUUCUCCCCCGCUCGGAGCGCGCGGCUGGGGAAGAAGCUGGCGGGAAGCCGGGCCGCGCGCCGAGGAAUCGAUGAUUCGGCCUGUGGGCCGGGUCACUGCGGCGGGGCCCGGGGAGCGCCGAUAGCAUGGAUAGGCUCAGAGGGGCGCAGGGUUUUGGCGGCUUCCCGAGUUCCCCUCGCCGACCGCCAUGUCACAUCUUACGGAAGAGGCGGGGGCUGCCGCGGAGAGGAUAUUUUUUGUUUUGUUUUGUUUUCACAAGAAUCACCUGGAUGCUUCUAAAGAGGAUGUCUACCAGACCCCAUGCCGCACUAAUUAGCUCAGAAGUGGGAACCCUUCUGUGGAAUGCAUCAGUUAAAAUCUCAAGAAACCCCGAGGCAGAGGAUUAAGAGAUACUGAAGAGAAGAUGAGUCUGUGUGCAUUUAUCUGUGCUUAGCCUGCUCCGAAUGGGAACUCAGCUCUCAAAUGAAGGUGUGUGUGGUAUGUGAUGGUGGAAGUAACCAGCAGCCAGGCAAAUGGCAGAGCGUGGCCCUUUUCCACCUCCAUGUGUAAUAAUUGCAGGACUCCCUUCCCAGACAAGACUGCUCACUCCUGCAGAAAAUGACCUUGUUCUUGAGAGCUGCUGCUAAUUUACAGUGAGGCACUAGGUUUCUACCCAGUGCCACGUGAGCAACCAAUCCAUCUACCCAGGGGCACGGCACUGACGAGCAGCAUCAUUUAGAAGGAAAGAAGUAUGGGUGGUGUUUGUUGUUUCCUGUGUGUUAAGGAAAAUCCAGUGAAAGUGACUGUGACCCUCCAACCUAGACUGUCUACUAGCUUUGACAAUGACCCCUGUCCUGCUAUUGGCUAGCUCCAUGUUUUGUUCACGUGACUCUCAACCUGGUGUGGCCUGGACUCUAGUCCCUGCCUCAAGGAAAGUCCAGACUGACAUAGAAAAUCCCUGCUCACCAGCCUUGACCUUGGGAGAAAGCCCCUGACCUGUGAGUGGACAGAAGGCCUGGUGGUCAGCCCGUGGGAGCCCUGGAGCGUGCACUGCUGGAGCAGCUCAGAAAAAGCUGAGAAGCCAAGACUUGACUGUCAGUCCUGGAGAAUUAGAACAUGCCUGCUAAAUUUCAGUCCACUCUGAGGAAGGGGCAGUGCCCACAAGGAAACCUAGUGGGUGGGGUUCUGGCUGGGACUCAUCUGGAGUUCCCAGGGCAGAUGCCCGGCCCCAGCUUAUAGACCAUGAUGCGGCUGGGCUUCCGUGUCUGAUUCUUAAGUGCCUCAGGUAAACAGACUCUCCUUUGCUUUGCCAGGAGGAAUGACAUUACUAUCAGCAUUGUAAAAGUCUGUGGCCUUUGGGAGAGUAAUUUUACUUCUAAGACUCUCCUCUACAGAGAAGUGUGCACACUGUUCCCAGUGGAGUCUAUAAAGAUAGCAAAGAGCAAAGACUUAAAACAGAAUGGCUCUGGGUUUGAAGUGUUGUGUAUCUAGACAAUGAACAGCCCACCUUUAAACAAGCCCCACAUGGACUGAAGCGGAGGCAGCUCCAAAUGUAUUAGGUGACAGUGCCACAUGGCUCUGUGUGAUGGUAAGAUUAUAUGUGUACAUGUCAUCUCGAAAGGAGAAUUCGGCUUAUCUCUGGGGAGAGAGUCUGCAUCUUUUCUCAUUUGUACCGAGUAUGGAGUGUGUAUCUAUCUCUCUGUCAGAAAUGUCAAGGGAAGGGUUCACCAUUGACCUGAUGCUCACGAAGGUUAGGAACCAAUGCCAACCACAAUGCCCACCUCUACCUUCAGGAGACAGUAAACGCCUUAGAAUACAAAACCCAUAAACAACCAAGACUGUGGUGCCUGCUGGGGCUGGGCCUGAGCUGCACACAGAGGCUAGGUACCGAACAGCUGCCAUGGUAAACUGGCACAGUUAGGCACGCGGCCGGGUUCACACGCCCUCUGCCCUGACUUUAAAGACAGCAGUCUUGGCCCAGCUUCCCUCACCCCCUAUGUAUGAGCAGAGAGCUAUACUUGCUGGGUUUCCAGCUCUUGUAUUUGGACUCCUCUUCUCUUUUCUCUUUUUUGAGAGAGGGUCUCACUGUGUAUUCGUGGCUGCUCUGGAACUUCCUGGACCAGGCUGGCCUUGAUGUAGAUCUCUGCCUUCUAAAAAAUAAAAAUAUGUUUUAUGUGUA
rnacentral:lncRNA from 1 species